AACGAACGCUGGCGGCGCGUCUUAAACAUGCAAGUCGAACGAUCUGUAGCAAUACAGGGAGUGGCGGACGGGUGAGGAACACGUAGGAAUCUACCUAGAAGAGCGGGACAACUUUGGGAAACCGGGGCUAAUACCGCAUAGUACAGAGAUGUUAAAGGGCUAGCAAUAGUCGCUUCUAGAUGAGCCUGCGGUCUAUCAGCUUGUUGGUGAGGUAAUGGCUCACCAAGGCAGCGACGGAUAGCCGGUCUGAGAGGAUGAUCGGCCACACUGGCACUGAGACACGGGCCAGACUCCUACGGGGGGCAGCAGUUAAGAAUCUUGCGCAAUGGGGGAAACCCUGACGCAGCGACGCCGCGUGAAGGAUGAAGGCUUUCGGGUUGUAAACUUCGGUAGACUGGGAAGAAGAACUACGUUCGUUGAGGGCGUAGAGUGACGGUACCAGUCUGAAGCCCCGGCUAAUUACGUGCCAGCAGCCGCGGUAAU
rnacentral:rRNA from 1 species